GACGAACGCUGGCGGCGUGCUUAACACAUGCAAGUCGAGCGGUAAGGCCCUUUCGGGGGUACACGAGCGGCGAACGGGUGAGUAACACGUGGGUGACCUGCCCUCAGCUCUGGGAUAAGCCUGGGAAACCGGGUCUAAUACUGGAUAUGACUCCAUGACGCAUGUUGUGGGGUGGAAAGCCUUGUGCGGCUGAGGAUGGGCCCGCGGCCUAUCAGCUUGUUGGUGGGGUGANGGCCUACCAAGGCGACGACGGGUAGCCGGCCUGAGAGGGCGACCGGCCACACCGGGACUGAGACACGGCCCAGACUCCUACGGGAGGCAGCAGUGGGGAAUCUUNCGCAAUGGGCGAAAGCCUGACGCAGCGACGCCGCGUGAGGGAUGACGGCCUGG
rnacentral:rRNA from 1 species